UACAGAGGGUGCAAACGUUGCUCGGAAUUACUGGGCGUAAAGCGUACGUAGGCGGAUUCGCAAGUCGGGCGUGAAAUCCCCGGGCUCAACCCGGGAACUGCGUUCGAAACUGCGUGUCUCGAGUAAUGGAGAGGGAAGCGGAAUUCUAGGUGUAGAGGUGAAAUUCGUAGAUAUCUAGAGGAACACCAGUGGCGAAAGCGGCUUCCUGGACAUUUACUGACGCUGAGGUACGAAAGCGUGGGGAGCAAACAGG
rnacentral:misc_RNA from 1 species